AGGAAACAAGGAAAGAAAUUGCAAAUAUAUCCCAGAACAGCUUAAGCAGAGACAAUUUCUCUGACAUACCAGAAAAUAUCUUAAAGAUUUAUCUACCGGACGAUGCAACCAUAGCAAGAGAGCUGUGGAGGAUCAAAGAAUACGCAGAUGAAUUGGACACAGUCAAGGAGGAAACAAAGGAAGAAUUGACCAAUAGAAACAUCGAAGAAGACAUAAAACCAGAGUUUGCCAGCGGAGCAGAAUAUCUGGACUGGUUGGAUCGACAACUCCCUUACCUCGAACCAUUUUUACCAGAAAACGCAGAACAUGUCUAUUUCUUCCGUCGAUGGAGUCGGGAUGAUUUCAGAUAUUACACGCCUUGUCUGGAAACACAUUUAGAAGAAGACCCCGGGAAAAAUCUAAAAGCUGAGAAUAGCGACGAGGACAUUGAACCAGAAUUUGCUAGUGGAGAAGAGUACCUUGGUUGGUUGGGUCGACAGCUACCAUGU